UGCCAGCCGCCGCGGUAAUACGUAGGGGGCAAGCGUUGUCCGGAUUUACUGGGUAUAAAGGGAGCGCAGGCGGACUUGUCAGUCAGGGGUGAAAUCCUACAGCUUAACUGUAGAACUGCCUUUGAUACUGCAAGUCUUGAGAUCGGAAGAGAGAGACGGAAUUCCAGGUGUAGUGGUGAAAUACGUAGAUAUCUGGAAGAACACCGAUGGCGAAGGCAGUCUCUUGGUCCGUAUCUGACGCUGAGGCUCGAAAGCGUGGGGAGCAAACAGGAUUAGAUA
rnacentral:rRNA from 1 species